UUGAGUAAACAUGUGUUUUUGGCCUAAACUAAAGCAUUUCGCACUAAAAUUGGGACAGGGCUUUAGGACCCUAUUCAGCUUCGCGAACUUGCUGAUUGAAUCCAUGCUCCUGCACUCGUCCAACACACAACCGGCAGCAAAACGAAACGAAAACUACUUUUGCACUGUCAGUAAAACCACGGCGACGGCUUUCACGCACACUAUGCCGCGACCGACGACGCUUUCCCCGUUCCGAACGCUGAACUUUCAGCCAAAAACUUUUUCGCCGUUCAGUGUGAUAUAUAUGAAAUCUUUUCCGCAAAACCUCCACUGGGCACAUAACCUGUGGGUCGAGGUGGACAGGUUCGACAGUGGAUUCACGUUGGUUAGACGGAAUAAACCCGGAACGGAUACGCGGUUGCAAGACGUUUUCUUCUGGUUAUGUUUACAUUUGAUGAUUAGACAAAAGAAAAUGAUGGUGUGCAAGGUCACUACAAACUCAGGUGCACAACCAAGGUAUUUUGAGUAACCGCUGAAACUUCCAACAUUAUAUACCCGCAGGGUCCAGUAAGGUGGAAACUGCACAAUGCAUGCUACUCUUGUUGCUCGACUCGAUGAUAAGUAUUCCAAGACCAAUUUCUGAUUGGUUGUUUCCUUGAUGUCCCACGCCUAGAGCCAAUUCCCAACUAAUAUUUAGUAUAUAUUAUAAGGGCAUAAACGCUUCUGGGCGAACUAAAUGAGAUUCUCAUUUAGUUGUUCAGAUUUGUCUAAAACACCAAUUUUGUAUUUAAUCACUGAACAGAGACGUAAGCGAAUAGUAGGCAAUAAUCGCCACCUUCGGAUCUUAUUUAUCGUGGACAUUAUUAUAUUUUGAGAUUCGGACUUUGCCAGGAUAAGGGGCCUCUUGGCUUGUUUUCUUAUUAAUUAUUAAUAAGAUGAAGGUUUCUGGGGUGCUGAAUAGACUCCAAAGUGUAUUCACGUAAACAUACAUUUUUAAUAUGCCAUAGCAGUGAAUCAAUUAUCACCCAACACGCAGCAACAAAGACAUUGUCACCUCCUUUCUUGUUGCAACAAUUUUAUUCCGCAACAUGAGUUUAUCAUCACUUGAACAGAAUAUGACAAAGAUCUAUUACCACGUGCGCAGCGAUUUUCUGGGCUUCGCAUUGCAAUUUUCGAGAACUUUCUCCGUGUUGGUAAACAUUGACGCAUUAUCAAAAGGCAUCCAUGAAACAAAUUUGGUUUUGUGCUUAAAAUAACUGAUCAAUCGCGAGUUGAAAAGGUGCCACAAUGUUGCGCUCUGUGAUUGUCAUGACAAUUUUGCUUUAUAUUGUGUCCUUAUCCGCAACAGUUGCGACAAACGGUUGUGAGCGAGCUUGCUUUGUUGUUUGUUUUUCGUUUAUUUUGAUGAUAAUUUGAUGCACUGUGCCAUAGACAUUAAUCUUGUAUCUCGUCACUGAACUGAGCGAAAUAAAUAUUUGAACGUCGAAAAUUUAUUUCUUAUUUUU